AUCCAGCUGAAGAAUCCCAAAUAGGACGAAACGCGCGUUCUGGAU
rnacentral:hammerhead_ribozyme from 1 species